UCCUCUUUCUUUUUUGUUUCAUCAAAUGAGUCGGAAGCGACAGUUAAAUUGAUAUCAGAAAUUCACUCGAGUACCAGUUAUAAUUUAUGCAGUCGUUAUUGAUUGAAUAACCGCGUUGUACAUUUUGAUUUGGUUCUGUGAUUAGAAUAUUUUAUAUUCGAAGUGAAUUAAUGAGUUUUUCAGAAUAUUCCGACGAACAAGUUUGCGACCCAGAAUCGCACGACUUACGUCUCGAUGCAGCUGCAGGUGCAAGUAUUGCUGUAUGAUAACGAAAAAACAAAAUAAAGAACGUGAAAUCAAAAUUGAUGACCGGGAGAAAAU
rnacentral:misc_RNA from 1 species